CCCUUUUCAGCGGUGGGUCUCAUCUACAGGAGACCACCAAUCAAUCAGCCAGUCUCCUGGGACCAAUCCCCAUGGGCGGUGGGCAGCAGGCUGGAGGAGGCCGCAUGAGCUCCGGCUGGGGUGGUGGUGCUGGAUCUAAUGUUGGAUCAGGCAAGCCACAUCAACGCCCUAUGGCACUUAAGCAGAUCAGAAGCAAAGUAGUGGUGGCCAAAUAUGACAGGAGUCCUCUGUCUAACAAAGCCCUGUUCGCCCUGGUUGAACCCUUUGGAACUCUCUAGAACACCUGGUU